GACGAACGCUGGCGGCGUGCUUAACACAUGCAAGUCGAACGCUGAAGCUCAGCUUUUGUUGGGUGGAUGAGUGGCGAACGGGUGAGUAACACGUGAGUAACCUGCCCCCUUCUUUGGGAUAACGCCCGGAAACGGGUGCUAAUACUGGAUAUUCACUGGUCUUCGCAUGGGGGUUGGUGGAAAGGGUUUUUCUGGUGGGGGAUGGGCUCGCGGCCUAUCAGCUUGUUGGUGGGGUGAUGGCCUACCAAGGCUUUGACGGGUAGCCGGACUGAGAGGGUGACCGGUCACAUUGGGACUGAGAUACGGCCCAGACUCCUACGGGAGGCAGCAGUGGGGAAUAUUGCACAAUGGGCGCAAGCCUGAUGCAGCGAGGCCGCGUGAGGGAUGGAGGCCUUCGGGUUGUGAACCUCUUUCGCUCAUGGUCAAGCCGCAACAAUGGUUGUGGUGAGGGUAGUGGGUAAAGAAGCGCCGGCUAACUACGU
rnacentral:rRNA from 1 species